rnacentral:rRNA from 1 species
AUUGAACGCUGGCGGCAUGCCUUACACAUGCAAGUCGAACGGCAGCACGGGAGCAAUCCUGGUGGCGAGUGGCGAACGGGUGAGUAAUAUAUCGGAACGUGCCCGGUCGUGGGGGAUAACGUAGCGAAAGCUACGCUAAUACCGCAUACGAUCUACGGAUGAAAGCGGGGGAUCGCAAGACCUCGCGCGAUUGGAGCGGCCGAUAUCAGAUUAGGUAGUUGGUGAGGUAAAGGCUCACCAAGCCGACGAUCUGUAGCUGGUCUGAGAGGACGACCAGCCACACUGGGACUGAGACACGGCCCAGACUCCUACGGGAGGCAGCAGUGGGGAAUUUUGGACAAUGGGCGGCAAGCCUGAUCAGCAAUGCCGCGUGCAGGAUGAAGGCCU